UAUUAUGUUAGUUUUUAUAAGAGUAACUAGUUGAUGCCCGCGAUUUUGCUCGCGUGGAAAUAGGUUU